GUGCUUGCUUUGGCAGCACGUAUUUUAAAAUUGGAAUGACAGAGAGAAGAUUAGAAUGGCCCCUGCACAAGGAUGACAUGCAAAUUCAGGAAGCAUUACGUAUUUUU